rnacentral:rRNA from 1 species
UACGUAGGUGGCAAGCGUUAUCCGGAUUUACUGGGUGUAAAGGGCGCGUAGGCGGGGAUGCAAGUCAGAUGUGAAAUCUAUGGGCUUAACCCAUAAACUGCAUUUGAAACUGUAUCUCUUGAGUGCUGGAGAGGUAGAUGGAAUUCCUUGUGUAGCGGUGAAAUGCGUAGAUAUAAGGAAGAACACCAGUGGCGAAGGCGAUCUACUGGACAGUAACUGACGCUGAGGCGCGAAAGCGUGGGGAGCAAACAGG